rnacentral:lncRNA from 1 species
AGCGUGAGAAGAGGAGCACUCCUUCCUCCCUGGGAACCAGCACAGGGCAGCUGCACACACCAUACCCACAGCCCCGUUAGGUUGUGUGAAGCCUCAAGUCUGUGACAAGAUCUUGGAAGACAGAGAUCAGCCUUCAUCAUCUACCACCAUCAGGCACUGGGAGGUGGGGACGGGGCUCAAGCUGACACCCUGAGAUGACUACCAGGAACUUUGAGGACGACACUGAGUGGCUACAACAGAGACCGUGUAGUUCACUAGGCCCAGAUGUUGACUCACAGGCCACAGGAAGAACAAACAUUCGUCUCUACACUGUGG